AUUGAACGCUGGCGGCAGGCCUAACACAUGCAAGUCGAACGGUAACAGAGUGCAGCUUGCUGCUUCCCUGACGAGUGUCGGACGGGUGAGUAGUGUCUGGCAAACUGUCUGUUGGCGUGGGAUAACUACUGGAAACGGUAACUCAUACCGCAUAACCUCCCUAGACCAAAGAGGAGGACCUUAUCGCCUCUUGCCAUCGUAUGUGCCCAGAUGGGAUUAGCUAGUAGGUGGGGUAACGGCUCACCUAGGCGACGAUCCCUAGCUGGUCUGAGAGGAUGAUCAGCCACACUGGAACUGAGACACGGUCCAGACUCCUACGGGAGGCAGCAGUGGGGAAUAUUGGACAAUGGGCGCAAGCCUGAUGCAGCCAUGCCGCGUGGAUGAAGAAGGCCUUCGGGUUGUAAAGUACUUUUGGUGGGAAGGAAGGGAGGAAAGUUAAUACCCCGCUGUGUUGACGGUACCCGAAGAAGAAGCACCGGCUAACUUCGUG
rnacentral:rRNA from 1 species